AGAGUUUGAUCCUGGCUCAGGAUGAACGCUAGCGGCAGGCUUAAUACAUGCAAGUCAGGGGCAGCGGGUGUAGCAAUACAUGCCGGCGACCGGCGCACGGGUGCGUAACGCGUAUGUAACCUACCUUUAACUGGAGGAUAGCCCCGAGAAAUCGGGAUUAAUACUCCAUAAAAUUAUGAGAAGGCAUCUUUUUAUAAUUAAAGCUCCGGCGGUUUUAGAUGGGCAUGCGUGACAUUAGCUAGUUGGUGAGGUAACGGCUCACCAAGGCUCCGAUGUCUAGGGGUUCUGAGAGGAUUAACCCCCACACUGGUACCGAGACACGGACCAGACUCCUACGGGAGGCAGCAGUAAGGAAUAUUGGGCAAUGGACGCAAGUCUGACCCAGCCAUGCCGCGUGAAGGAUGACGGCCCUAUGGGUUGUAAACUUCUUUUGUACGGGAAAAAACCUUCGAACGUGUUCGAAGCUGAUGGUACCGUAAGAAUAAGCAUCGGCUAACUCCGUG
rnacentral:rRNA from 1 species